AAUGAACGUUGGCGGCGUGGAUUAGGCAUGCAAGUCGCGCGAGAACUGUAGCAAUACAGGGAAAGCGGCGUAAGGGACAGUAAUACCUAGAAACGUACCCCCGGGUCUGGGAUAGCGGCGGGAAACUGCCGGUAAUACCAGAUAACGUCUCCGGACCAAAGGUGUGAUUCCACCUGGGGAGCGGUCUAGGCCCUAUUAGCUUGUUGGUGGGGUAACGGCCUACCAAGGCAAAGAUGGGUAGCAGGUGGGAGAGCACGACCUGCGUCACUGGGACUGAGACACUGCCCAGACACCUACGGGUGGCUGCAGUCGAGAGUCUUCGGGAAUGGGCGCAAGCCGGACCGAGCGACGCCGCGUGCGGGAUGAAGGCCUUCGGGUUGUAAACCGCUGUCGAAGGGGAUGAAAUUCCGGUGGGUUCUCUUGCCGGAUUGACAGAUCCUUGGAGGAAGGACGGGCUAAGUUCGUGCCAGCCGCCGCCGUAACAC
rnacentral:rRNA from 1 species